rnacentral:tRNA from 1 species
GGUGGCUCAGCGGUAGAGCGCUUGCCUUGCAAGCAUGAGGCCCUGGGUUCAAUUCCUCAGCACCA